UACAUGGGGUGCAAACGUUGCUCGGAAUUAUUGGGCGUAAAGCGCGCGUAGGCGGUUACUCAAGUCGGAUGUGAAAGCCCUCGGCUUAACUGAGGAAGUGCACCCGAAACUGAGUAGCUAGAGUACUAAAGAGGGUCGCGGAAUUCCCGGUGUAGAGGUGAAAUUCGUAGAUAUCGGGAGGAACACCAGUGGCGAAGGCGGCUCACUGGCCCGGUACUGACGCUGAGGUGCGAAAGCGUGGGGAGCAAACAGG
rnacentral:rRNA from 1 species